rnacentral:rRNA from 1 species
CCUACGGGAGGCAGCAGUGAGGAAUAUUGGUCAAUGGACGAGAGUCUGAACCAGCCAAGUAGCGUGAAGGAUGACUGCCCUAUGGGUUGUAAACUUCUUUUAUAUGGGAAUAAAAUGUUCCACGUGUGGGAUUUUGUAUGUACCAUAUGAAUAAGGAUCGGCUCACUCCGUGCCAGCAGCCGCGGUAAUACGGAGGAUCCGAGCGUUAUCCGGAUUGAUUGGGUUUAAAGGGAGCGUAGGUGGAUUGUUAAGUCAGUUGUGAAAGUUUGCGGCUCAACCGUAAAAUUGCAGUUGAAACUGGCAGUCUUGAGUACAGUAGAGGUGGGCGGAAUUCGUGGUGUAGCGGUGAAAUGCUUAGAUAUCACGAAGAACUCCGAUUGCGAAGGCAGCUCACUGGACUGCAACUGACACUGAGGCUCGAAAGUGUGGGUAUCAAACAGGAUUAGAUACCCGGGUAGUC